AUUGAACGCUGGCGGCAGGCUUAACACAUGCAAGUCGAACGAGUGGCGGACGGGGGCGUAAUGUCUGGGAAACUGCCAGAUGGAGGGGGAUAACUACUGGAAACGGUAGCUAAUACCGCAUACCAUCGGAUGUGCCAAGAUGGGCUUAGCUAGGAGGUGGGGUAACGGCUAACCUAGGCGACGAUGCCUCGCUGGUCUGAGAGGAUGACCAGCCACACUGUAACUGAGACACGGUCCAGACUCCUACGGGAGGCAGCAGUGGGGAAUAUUGCACAAUGGGAGCAAGCCUGAUUCAGCCGUGCCGCGUGUAUGAAGAAGGCCUUCGGGUUGUAAAGGACUUUCAGCGAGGAGGCGUUACUCGCAGAAGAAGCACCGGCUAACUCCGUGCCAGCAGCCGCGGUAAUUC
rnacentral:rRNA from 1 species